CAAUAGCGUAUAUUAAAGUUGUUGCGGUUAAAAAGCUCGUAGUUGGAUUUCUGCCGAGGACGUCCGGUCCACCCUCUGGGUGUGUACAUGGCACGGCCUGGGCAUCUUCUUGGGGUACGUAUCUGCACUUGACUGUGUGGUGCGGAAUCCAGGACUUUUACUUUGAGGAAAUUAGAGUGUUUCAAGCAGGCACGCGCCUUGAAUACAUUAGCAUGGAAUAAUAAGAUAGGACCUCGGUUCUAUUUUGUUGGUUUCUAGAGCUGAGGUAAUGAUUAAUAGGGAUAGUUGGGGGCAUUCGUAUUUAACUGUCGGAGGUGAAAUUCUUGGAUUUGUUAAAGACGGACUACUGCGAAAGCAUUUGCCAAGGAUGUUUUCAUUGA
rnacentral:rRNA from 1 species